rnacentral:tRNA from 2 species
GCAGAAGUGGCGGAACUGGCAGACGCGCAAGACUAAGGAUCUUGUGUCCGCAAGGAUGUAGGGGUUCGAGUCCCCUCUUCUGCACCA